rnacentral:lncRNA from 10 species
ACCAUUACAUCCCAAUAUUAGGUUGGCAGCAGUGGAAGUCAUACAUUGAUGCAAAAGGGGUUCCCAAGUCUCCUCUCUGCUCACCUAUGAUCUAAUCUCUUCUCGGGGGCAUCCAAAUCAGUAAAGAGGAAGUCAAACUGUCGCUGUUUGCUGAUAAUAUAAUCGUAUAUAGGCUGGUAAGUAUGAGAGGCAUACUUGAAAACCCUAAAGAUUCCUCCUAACUGGGAUUCUAGGAUUACAGAUGUAAGCCACUGCAUGCAGCCUGAGGCAGGUCAUGGGGAGCCUGGAAACGUGUAGAGCAGGAGAAUGUUUUGAAAGGUCAUGGCAGCAGCUAUCUGGAGAAUGGAUUUGAGAAAG